UGCAAGUCGAGCGGAAAGGCCCCUUCGGGGGUACUCGAGCGGCGAACGGGUGAGUAACACGUGAGCAACCUGCCCCCGACUCUGGGAUAAGCCCGGGAAACUGGGUCUAAUACCGGAUGUAACCACUGAUCGCAUGAUUGGGUGGUGGAAAGUUUUUCGGUUGGGGAUGGGCUCGCGGCCUAUCAGCUUGUUGGUGGGGUGAUGGCCUACCAAGGCGACGACGGGUAACCGGCCUGAGAGGGCGACCGGUCACACUGGGACUGAGACACGGCCCAGACUCCUACGGGAGGCAGCAGUGGGGAAUAUUGCGCAAUGGGCGGAAGCCUGACGCAGCGACGCCGCGUGAGGGAUGACGGCCUUCGGGUUGUAAACCUCUUUCAGCAGGGACGAAGCUAACGUGACGGUACCUGCAGAAGAAGCGCCGGCUAACUACGUGCCAGCAGCCGCGGUAAUACGUAGGGCGCAAGCGUUGUCCGGAAUUAUUGGGCGUAAAGAGCUCGUAGGCGGUUUGUCGCGUCUGUCGUGAAAGCCCACGGCUUAACCGUGGGUCUGCGGUGGAUACGGGCAGACUAGAGGCAGGUAGGGGAGAACGGAAUUCCCGGUGUAGCGGUGAAAUGCGCAGAUAUCGGGAGGAACACCGGUGGCGAAGGCGGUUCUCUGGGCCUGUACUGACGCUGAGGAGCGAAAGCGUGGGGAGCGAACAGGAUUAGAUACCCUGGUAGUCCACGCCGU
rnacentral:rRNA from 1 species